CUUGGUGAUCGACUCAACGCCAGUGAGUGAGAGAGAGGAGUCUAGAAGACUCACAGAUUUAAGGCUUGAGAAUCCAGUGGUUUCUUGAAUUGAGAGAGGUAUACUGGGGGAGGAGAGGGAGUGAGGUAGAAGAUGAUUUAAGAUGACUGCGUUGGGGGAAGAACUGUUGAAAUUAGCAGCGCCUGGAAUGCUGCCUCGUUCCUUUGAAGCAUAUCUUGUCUCCCCAACAAGAGUGAAAGUUCUCCAAUAGAAGGAACUACAAGAAUUAUCUUCAGCAACCGUAACAUAUGGCUGAGUCUUGGGCACAAAGAUUCUAUUUCCUAAGCUGUGCUUCUAGAAGCAUAGUCCAUCUUCAGAAUCAAACUGGCGUCAGUGCUGAGAUCUAAACCACAAGGUAUGCAUUUAGCAGAAUAACCUCUGAACUCU